CCCCUUGGUAUUCCGGGGGGCAUGCCUGUUCGAGCGUCAUUAUAACCCCUCAAGCUCAGCUUGGUGUUGGGGCCUGCCAACUGGCAGCCCUUAAAAUCAGUGGCGGCGCCAUCUGGCUCUAAGCGUAGUAAUUUCUCUCGCUAUAGGAUCCCGGUGGAUGCUUGCCAACAACCCCCAAUUUUCUAUGGUUGACCUCGGAUCAGGUAGGGAUACCCGCUGAACUUAAGCAUAUCAAUAAGCGGAGGAAAAGAAACCAACAGGGAUUGCCUCAGUAACGGCGAGUGAAGCGGCAACAGCUCAAAUUUGAAAUCUGGCUCUUUCAGGGUCCGAGUUGUAAUUUGUAGAAGAUGCUUCGGGUGUGGCUCCGGUCUAAGUUCCUUGGAACAGGACGUCAUAGAGGGUGAGAAUCCCGUAUGUGACUGGUUGCCUUCGCCCAUGUGAAGCUCUUUCGACGAGUCGAGUUGUUUGGGAAUGCAGCUCAAAAUGGGUGGUAAAUUUCAUCUAAAGCUAAAUAUUGGCCAGAGACCGAUAGCGCACAAGUAGAGUGAUCGAAAGAUGAAGAGCACUUUGGAAAGAGAGUUAAACAGUACGUGAAAUUGUUGAAAGGGAAGCGCUUGCAACCAGACUUGCACGCAGUUGGUCAUCCGGUGUUCUCACCGGUGCACUCUGCUGCGUUCAGGCCAGCAUCGGUUUUGGCGGUUGGAUAAAGGCCUUAGGAAUGUGG
rnacentral:rRNA from 1 species